rnacentral:rRNA from 1 species
UACUCGAGUGGCGAACGGGUGAGUAACACGUGGGUGAUCUGCCCUGCACUUCGGGAUAAGCUUGGGAAACUGGGUCUAAUACCGGAUAGGAACCAUCUUUAGUGUGGUGGUUGGAAAGUUUUUUCGGUGUAGGAUGAGCUCGCGGCCUAUCAGCUUGUUGGUGGGGUAAUGGCCUACCAAGGCGGCGACGGGUAGCCGGCCUGAGAGGGUGUACGGCCACAUUGGGACUGAGAUGCGGCCCAG